GAUGAAGAACGUAGCGAAAUGCGAUAAGUAAUGUGAAUUGCAGAAUUCAGUGAAUCAUCGAAUCUUUGAACGCACAUUGCGCCCGCCAGUAUUCUGGCGGGCAUGCCUGUCUGAGCGUCAUUUCACCACUCAAGCCUCGCUUGGUAUUGGGCAACGCGGUCCGCCGCGUGCUUCAAAUCGACCGGCUGGGUCUUCUGUCCCCUAAGCGUUGUGGAAACUAUUCGCUAAAGGGUGUUCGGGAGGCUACGCCGUAAAACAACCCCAUUUCUAAGGUUGACCUCGGAUCAGGUAGGGAUACCCGCUGAACUUAAGCAUAUCAAUAAGCGGAGGA
rnacentral:misc_RNA from 1 species